AUGUUUCCUCCUCCACCUGCAAAUCUGAUCAUAGAAGGGGUCAUCCUUGUCUUAAAUGAAGGCCCACAGAGCCUGAGCUGGGAGCCGCGUUGGAGAGACCACAUAGAGAAGACAGCCCGGGACAACCCCGGAGAAGAGCCCCAGCCUGCUUGUCACUCCCUUCAAGAACAAGACCAGGCAAUGGGCCACCCUGCAAAUUUCAGCCUGGCCAAGUCCCCGGAUGACUACAUGCAUACCUGUCUGACCUCACGUGACCAGAACCACCCAGCUGAGCCCAGUCAAGUCUCAGAAUCAACCCUCUACGAAACUGGUUUGGGGAGGGGGUUCGUCUGUGAGUUUAACCCAUGUGGGGGAGCUCAAGUAGGACUCGCCGCAGAUCCUCCUCAGCUGGAAGAUUCCAGUUCUGUCCCCGGCUGUGCCCCCCUCCACCCGGGGGCUCCCCUGACCCCCAAGGAAAAGCAGAAGGACGAAGUCCAGCCCUGCGGCAGCGUGAGGGUCACCCCCUGCAGGCCAGACGCUCUUUGCCUCGCCCCGGGUCCCCUGCCAGGCAGCCACUGCGUCUUCGAAGCUUGAGCCUGUGUUAACUGCUCUUAAAAAAAAAAUAUGUUUUAAAGCAAUAAAAUCUGUACAUUAA
rnacentral:lncRNA from 1 species